GCAUCAAAGGUAAACGUUCGGCAAGAAGGUAUAUAUAAGCGCCGUGCAUCUCGGGCCUUCUCGCCCCUGAAGAAGAAGCCGGUGAGGCUACCAAAACGUCGGGUAUCAUAAAAUUAA
rnacentral:lncRNA from 1 species